rnacentral:rRNA from 1 species
AUGGCGAGCGACCGGAGCGGGGCGGGGCGGGAGAGGUUGUGGAUUCUACUGGGAUGUUUAUGUGCUUUGGCGCCGCGCGCGCGCUGGGCUGGCGGCUGUCGAGGCGAGCCGGGGCUGGGGUGGGGAGAGUGGAGUGGAGUAGUAAAGUGGAAGAAGCCGACGAGAGGGGAACAAGAGCGUGAGCACAACUGGUUAGGGAACAUCGAGGAUUCGAGGGCCAAUUUAUGGUUCAUGACUCGUACUUCCUGCUGUGAGAGGAGAGGAGGAUUUUGCCACUGGUCUCUGUGUUUUCGCUUUCUUUCUAGGUUCUGUCUAAGACACGUCUAA